rnacentral:tRNA from 1 species
GGUGCUGUGGCGCAUCAGGUUAACGCCCUGGCCUGAAGCGCCGGCAUCCCAUAUGGGCGCAGGUUCGAAUCCUGGCAGCUCCA